rnacentral:rRNA from 1 species
GCACGGGUGAGUAACACGUAAGUAAUCUACCUUCGAGUGGGGAAUAACGUUCGGAAACGAACGCUAAUACCGCAUAAUGCAGCG